UGAAUGUGUCGACCUACUCACCCGUUC
rnacentral:sRNA from 1 species